UAGGGAAUCUUCGGCAAUUGACGAAAGUCUGCCCGAGCAACGCCGCUUGAGUGAAGAAGGUCUUCGGAUCGUAAAACUCUGUUGUUAGAGAAGAACAAGGACGUUAGUAACUGAACGUCCCCUGACGGUAUCUAACCAGAAAGCCACGGCUAACUACGUGCCAGCAGCCGCGGUAAUACGUAGGUGGCAAGCGUUGUCCGGAUUUAUUGGGCGUAAAGCGAGCGCAGGCGGUUUCUUAAGUCUGAUGUGAAAGCCCCCGGCUCAACCGGGGAGGGUCAUUGGAAACUGGGGGACUAGAGUGCAGAAGGGGAGAGUGGAAUUCCAUGUGUAGCGGUGAAAGGCGUAGAUAGAUGGAGGAACACCAGUGGCGAAGGCGGCUCUCUGGUCUGUAGCUGAAGCUGAGGCUAGAAAGCGUGGGGAGCAAACAGG
rnacentral:rRNA from 1 species